GACGAACGCUGGCGGCGUGCUUAACACAUGCAAGUCGAACGGAAAGGCCCUGCUUUUGUGGGGUGCUCGAGUGGCGAACGGGUGAGUAACACGUGAGUAACCUGCCCUUGACUUUGGGAUAACUUCAGGAAACUGGGGCUAAUACCGGAUAGGAGCUCCUGCUGCAUGGUGGGGGUUGGAAAGUUUCGGCGGUUGGGGAUGGACUCGCGGCUUAUCAGCUUGUUGGCGGGGUAGUGGCUUACCAAGGCUUUGACGGGUAGCCGGCCUGAGAGGGUGACCGGCCACAUUGGGACGGAGAUACGGCCCAGACUCCAACGGGAGGCAGCAGUGGGGAAUAUUGCACAAUGGGCGGAAGCCUGAUGCAGCAACGCCGCGUGCGGGAUGACGGCCUUCGGGUUGUAAACCGCUUUCGCCUGUGACGAAGCGUGAGUGACGGUAAUGGGUAAAGAAGCACCGGCUAACUACGUG
rnacentral:rRNA from 1 species